rnacentral:rRNA from 1 species
GAUGAACGCUGGCGGCGUGCCUAAUACAUGCAAGUCGAGCGAACAGAUGAGGAGCUUGCUCCUCUGACGUUAGCGGCGGACGGGUGAGUAACACGUGGAUAACCUACCUAUAAGACUGGGAUAACUUCGGGAAACCGGAGCUAAUACCGGAUAAUAUAUUGAACCGCAUGGUUCAAUAGUGAAAGACGGUUUUGCUGUCACUUAUAGAUGGAUCCGCGCCGCAUUAGCUAGUUGGUAAGGUAACGGCUUACCAAGGCAACGAUGCGUAGCCGACCUGAGAGGGUGAUCGGCGACACGGGAACGGGAACAGGGUCCAGACGACUACGGGAGGCAGCAGUAGGCAAUCGUCCGCAAUGGGCGAAAGCCUGACGGAGCAACGCCGCGUGAGUGAUGAAGGUCUUCGGAUCGUAAAACUCUGUUAUGAGGGAAGAACAAAUGUGUAAGUAACUAUGCACGUCUUGACGGUACCUAAUCAGAAAGCCACGGCUAACUACGUG